AGGAAAUGAGCAAUGGGUGAGCAAGCAUUACCACCAGAGCUCUGCCUUCUGUCAGAUCACUGGGGGCAUUAGAUUCUCACUGGAGCACAAACCCUAUUGUGAACUGUACAUGUGAGGGAUCUAGCUUGCAUGCUCCUUAUAAGGAGCAUAUAUCUAAUGCCUGAUGAUCUGUCACUGUCUCCCAUCACCUCCAGAUGGGACUGUCUAGUUGCAGGAAAACAAGCUCAGGGCUCCCAACUGAUUCUACAUUAUGGUGAGUUGUAUAAUUACUUCAUUAUAUAUUACAAUGUAAUAAUAAUAGAAAUAAAGUGUGCAAUAAAUGUCAUGUGCUUGAAUCAUCCUGAAACCAUCUCCCGUUUCUCAUGCCUGGUCCGUGGAAAAAGUAUCUUCCAUGAAACUGGUCCCUGGUGCCAAAAAGGUUGGGGACCACUGCCCUAACACAUGCAAAAGGCCUAGAAGCCAGGUCCCUGCAGCACUCUCCCCUGGCUUCCCACUGGACUUUCUAGAGGUCAGAGUACACAGCGCAUUCUCUAACAGUGCAAAACCCAAGGUAAGGAGCCCAUGGCGGGUGGCCUCUCCUGGGAUUACCUGUCUCCUGUGUAAGGAUGAGGGCAGUUACAGGAAGCUCCUUUGGGGGAGAGGAUGCAGGUUCCACCUUCCAGGCAGGGUGCAAAAGUACAGUUCUCCCUUCCUUGUUCACAGUGCUUCCCAGAGAACUGUGGGGGACAUUUGCAGACAUAGCCUGGGAGAAAAAGAAGGGAGGUGAGAGACCGCACUGGCCUGGCAGUUAAAGGAGACCUGGCAUUGGCAGACUCGUGUGUUCGUGCAGCCAUUCAGUUACCAUUUAUUUAUUUGGUUGCUCCCCUCUGUGCCCAAUACCGUGCUGGGCAUUGGUGCCCUGCUGAACAAGAGCACUUUGGUCCCUGCCCUCAAACAGCUUACAGCCCACCAGAGACAACAGUCACCUAAAGAACAGUAAUAAACAGGAUAACAACCAUAGACACUAACUUAGUGCUAGUCACUGUUCCAAGGAUCUUCCUGUGUUGGCUCAUUUGAUCCUCACGACGACCCUGAGGUUGGUGACUGUCACCAUCCUCAUCAGGGGACAGGUACAAAGGGAUGGCAGAUGAGGAAAGGAGGCACAGAGAAUGGACAGAAUUUGCUCAAGGUCACACAGCCAGUAAAUAGGCAGCUAGCUAUAAUAUCAGUAUCUCAGUAAUUAUAAUAAAAUUAGUUUUAUUGAAGGGAAAUGCUGGGAGGGGUGGGGGAUGAGGCUAGCUUACUCUAGGGACCUGGGAGCUAUUUCAUUUGAGAUCUGAAGGAUGAGUAGAAAUUAGCUAGGCAAGAAGCUAGAGGGCAAAGAGAAAGGUGUUUCAGGUGGAAGAGAAGAGUGUGUGCAAAGGCUAGGGAAGGGUGUGGCAUGGUCAAGGAACUCAAACCACGCCAGGGUGGGCCAGCCUGGUGAGGGACAGGGAGAGUUUGAACUAUGGCCUGGGAGGUGCAGGAGCCACCUGCAGGGAUUGGGACUCUAUCCUAACAGCACGGCGGCCACUGAGCAGUUCUCAGCAGAAGAGUGCCAUGCACAGGUCUGUGCUGGAUAAAGAUCACCCCAGCUCCUGCUGGAAGGUGGAAGGCAGGGAUAGAAGCCGGAGAACAGGGAGGAGGCUCGUGCCAGGGUGAGGUGAUGUGGGCUUGGGACAGAGGGACAGCAGUGGGGAAGGGGAGAAGCGAUGGAUUCCUUGGAUAUUUUGCAGGUAGAAAUGACAUGAUUAGCCAGACAAAAAUCAGAAAAUGGGGUAAUGCGAAGUGUUGACAGGCAUGUGGGUACAUAGGAACCUCUCAUGUUGCGUGUGCUGUAUAGAUAGAUGGCUGCAGCCAUGCUGAGAGCAAUGUAGCCCUAUUUAGUCAAAAUAAUUAUUUGCAUACUGUGAGCCUGUGACUUCCACCCCUGGGUGUCGGGUGUGUGUGUGUGAAGGAAACUCUCACACAGCUUCACAAGGAGACAUAUAGGAGAAUGCUCCCUGCAGCAUUGAUGAUGGAGGUGGGUGUUUGGAGUGUGAGGGUGGAGAGGGAAAAUGUGAGUGCAUGUACAUCAUGGAGUACUGAGCCACAGUUAGAAGCAAUUAAUGAGAAUUGCUCAUGGCAGCAUUGACGGAUCUUAAAAAUAUGGUGCUGAGCGAAAGUGUAAACAACAUAUACCACUUAUAUAAAUUGGAAAUUCAAGCAUAUGAAAAACAACGUGUAUUUUGCAAGAACUCAUUCAAAAACAGUAAAUGUUCGCCUCUAGUGAGGGGAACAUUUAGGGAAGGGGAAGGGAGUGGAAUAUAAGUUAAAGGGGAAUGAGAAGGAGACUGUGUGUAGACCAAUGAUGACAGUAAGGUAUGUGAUUAAUUCAACCCUUUGUCCCUGAGGUCCCCAUUCAUAUCCUCCCUCGUCUCCCCAGAAGUAGAAAGGUAGUUUUUGUUGAGAGAGAAGGAAGACUCCUGGCUUCCCCUAGUCUAGAUAUUGCAGAUUCCAACCUGUUACUCACAAGAUAGGGGAAGAGAGAGAAAUUUGGAACCAGGAGGCUCUGAGAUCUCCACCCUGACAUGCGUUUUGCACCUGAAAAGCCUUCUGGGAUAAACCCUGGGUUCAGCCUGGCAUCCCAGCCCUCACCUGCCCCAUGGGUCCAUGAGCACUUCCCACCAUUGAGGCAUGGGUUCUGGCUGCAGUAGUCACUGUGGAGGCAGCACUGGGUGAGGGCUUGUGUCUCCAGCAAGCCUGCCACCGUCUUGCCAGGGGCCAGCAGAUCUAGAGCCUCUUCGUUGACCACGACAGCAUCCAGGCAGCCUUCAAAGCCCUGGGAGACAUUCGAGGAAGAAUGCAACAGGACGAGGCCGCCCAGCAAGAGGUGUCUUUCGGGCCUCAGACCACGGCAGUUCUCCGGGACCACAAGGGAGGUGUUGCCCAUGCUGUCAACCAUCAGGCGAAUGGAAGCGUCCAUCUCCUCCACCAGGAUGGAGUGCCACUCGUGGUCAUUCACAUGGCGCUGGGAGGAAAGGUUUCCAUAGAAACCACCCAGACAGUGGUAUUCCAGCUGGGGCACUCCACUGGCCAGCUGCAAAGGAAACCCAAACAGCCAUCAGCAAAGCCAAAGAGUCCUUGUAAACCUGCUAACAGGCUGCCAGUUCAAAGAAUGUUGUUUGUAUUUUUAUGGGUAGGAGGGGGGUGUUUGGUGAUUUUCAAGGCUGUUUUAGACAUGGCAUUUGCAGAGCAUAAAAACCCUCAAAGUG
rnacentral:antisense_RNA from 1 species